rnacentral:rRNA from 1 species
UGUAGUCAUAUGCUUGUCUCAAAGAUUAACCCAUGCAUGUCUAAGUAUAAACACGUUAUACUGUGAAACUGCGAAUGGCUCAUUAAAUCAGUUAUAGCUUAUUUGAUGGUUUUUGCUACAUGGAUAACUGUGGUAAUUCUAGAGCUAAUACAUGCGUACAAGCCCCGACUUCUGGAAGGGGUGUAUUUAUUAGAUAAAAAUCAACACUGUUGGUGAAUCAUGAUAACUUCUCGGAUCGCAUGGCCUCGUGCUGGCGAUACUUCAUUCAAAUAUCUGCCCUAUCAACUGUCGAUGGUAGGAUAGAGGCCUACCAUGGUUGCAACGGGUAACGGGGAAUAAGGGUUCGAUUCCGGAGAGGGAGCCUGAGAAACGGCUACCACAUCCAAGGAAGGCAGCAGGCGCGCAAAUUACCCAAUCCCGACACGGGGAGGUAGUGACAAUAUGUAACAAUAUACGGCUUUAUCGUCGUAUAAUUGGAAUGAGUACAAUUUAAAUCCCUUAACGAGGAACAAUUGGAGGGCAAGUCUGGUGCCAGCAGCCGCGGUAAUUCCAGCUCCAAUAGCGUAUAUUAAAGUUGUUGCAGUUAAAAAGCUCGUAGUUGGACCUUGGGCCUGGACGGGCGGUCCGCCUCACGGCGUGUACUGUCUUGCCGGGCCUUUCCUCUUGGUGAUCUGUUGUUUCGGCAGCAGGGAACCAGGACCUUUACUUUGAAAAAAUUAGAGUGUUCAAAGCAGGCUCGACGCCGGAAUAUAUUAGCAUGGAAUAAUAAAAUAGGACGUGCGGUUCUAUUUUGUUGGUUUUUGGGAUCGCCGUAAUGAUUAAUAGGGACAGUCGGGGGGCAUUAGUACUCACAUGCUAGAGGUGAAAUUCAUGGAUUUUGUGAAGACUAACUUCUGCGAAAGCAUUUGC